rnacentral:siRNA from 1 species
GUAUAACUCUCAUCGCUACAUAGC